UUGUGGGUGGAGUUGUGAGACGUGCACAGCUGUUUCCAAUCUUCCCAGAUACUACUUAAGCAGCACCUUGACAGCUGGAUGGCAUUUGGCGAUUCCACUCCUCGACUCUCCACACCAGAAAUUUCCAAUGCUUCCCGAGUUUUUGAUACCUACUUUCUUGGCUUUUCCCAGUGCCAUCCAGCUUUGUGUUGUGUGGUAGUUUGCACAUCUUCUCCUGUUUGGAUCAUUGUUCAGCAGCAUGUGAUGGUUGAGAGGAGCGUUCUACUUAAAGGACGACAACAUCCCUUCUUGGUGGGACUCCACAUCUCUUUCCAGACACCAAACAAGCUUUACUUUGUUGUGGACUACGUUAAUAGAGGGGAGCUUUUCUACCAUCUUCAGAGAGAAGGUUAGUUUGCUGAAAGCAGAGCUUCUUUUUAUGCGGCAGAGAUGAGUUUGGCACUGGGUACCUCCACUCCUUAUACACUGUCUACAGG